ACAUACGAUUUUUUGUAAAUAUUCAUGUGCUGCAGCUAAUUCGAAGAUAUAAUUCUGUUUAGUGUUUUAUUCAUCUGAAACGGGAUACUUAUUAUCAGUGCCGGGGUUACACAUGCUGGUGCCCUGGGUGGAACCAUGUUUUCGCGUCUUCCUUCCAAUUAAUCGAGUACAGUUAUUGUCAUUGAGAUGCCCCCCCUCUUACAGCAGGCGCCCUGGGCGUAGGCCCUGGUCGCCCAUCCCUAACACCGGCCCUG